rnacentral:rRNA from 1 species
UACGGAGGGGGCAAGCGUUACUCGGAAUUAUUGGGCGUAAAGGGCGCGUAGGCGGUCGUGUGCGUCGGAGGUGAAAUCCCCGGGCUUAACCCGGGAGCUGCCUCCGAUACGGCAUGGCUUGAGUCCGGGAGAGGGGAGCAGAAUUCCCAGUGUAGCGGUGAAAUGCGUAGAUAUUGGGAGGAAUACCAGUGGCGAAGGCGGCUCCCUGGACCGGUACUGACGCUGAUGCGCGAAAGCGUGGGUAGCAAACAGG